GAGUUUGAUCAUGGCUCAGAUUGAACGCUGGCGGCAGGCUUAACACAUGCAAGUCGAACGAUGAUUACUAGCUUGCUAGUAUGAUUAGUGGCGAACGGGUGAGUAAUGCUUAGGAAUCUGCCUAUUAGUGGGGGACAACAUUCCGAAAGGAAUGCUAAUACCGCAUACGUCCUAUGGGAGAAAGCAGGGGAUCUUUUGACCUUGCGCUAAUAGAUGAGCCUAAGUCGGAUUAGCUAGUUGGUGGGGUAAAGGCCUACCAAGGCGACGAUCUGUAGCUGGUCUGAGAGGAUGAUCAGCCACACUGGGACUGAGACACGGCCCAGACUCCUACGGGAGGCAGCAGUGGGGAAUAUUGGACAAUGGGCGAAAGCCUGAUCCAGCCAUGCCGCGUGUGUGAAGAAGGCCUUUUGGUUGUAAAGCACUUUAAGUGGGGAGGAAAAGCUAAUAAUUAAUACCUAUUAGCCC
rnacentral:rRNA from 1 species